UACGUAGGGGCAAGCGUUGUCCGGAUUUAUUGGGCGUAAAGAGCGUGUAGGCGGCUUGGUAGGUCCGCUGUGAAAACUCGAGGCUCAACCUCGAGACGCCGGUGGAAACCAUCAGGCUAGAGUCCGGAAGAGGAGAGUGGAAUUCCUGGUGUAGCGGUGAAAUGCGCAGAUAUCAGGAAGAACACCCGUGGCUAAGGCGGCUCUCUAGUACGGUACUGACGCUGAGACGCGAAAGCGUGGGGAGCGAACAGG
rnacentral:rRNA from 1 species